UCAUGUUUAAAAAUAUCAAAAAAAUUAUUAUAACAGUAAAAUAAAAAAUAAAGAUAAAAAGAAGGAAACCAGACUAUUCUGAAAAAUUUCCUAAAAAUUUCCCGAUUCUUCUUAAUCUCAAAUCCUUAACUCUUUCUAAAGAUUGAAGAACUCGAUCAGAACUUGCAACGGAAAUCACAACGGCAAGAUUGAAGAACCCGAACAGCAGGGUCAAGGACUCACUGGUGACCGUGACGGCAAGUUUCAGACACUUUUUACUUGAAGUAUAUGGGGAUCUAGGAGACUAUAUUUUCUUAUGCGUUCAAGGCUUUAUGACACUUACAAAUAUGGCACAUGCUUUUUGUUAGACCUGAAUUUUGGAUGACGGGUAUAAAGUUGGGGAAGAGAAGGAACAAGGAAGACGAUACAAAUCCCAUGAGCUAUUUUUUAUUGGAGGAGCUAUUGGUUGCUUAAUGUGCUGUUUUGUAUUGGAGGAGUUAUGUAGUUUAUUUUGGAGAGUUAUGGAGCUAUUUUGUAUUGGGAUAGCUGUUUUUUGCUUAAUGUGCUAUUUUGUAUUGGAGAAACUAUGUAGUUUAUUAUGGACAGCUGUGGAGCUAUUUUAUAUUGGGGUAGCUAUUUUUUGCUUAAUGUGUUAUUUUAUAUUGGAGAAGCUAUGUAGUUUAUUAUGGACAGUUGUGGAGCUAUUUUGUAUUGGGGUAGCUGUUUUUUGCUUAAUGUGCUAUUUUGUAUUGGAGAAGCUAUGUAGUUUAUUAUGGACAGUUGUGGAGCUAUUUUGUAUUGGGGUAGCUGUUUUUUGCUUAAUGUGCUAUUUUGUAUUGGAGAAGCUAUGUAGUUUAUUUUGUAUUGGGAUAGCUAUUUUUUGUUUAAUGUGCUAUUUUGCAUUGGAGAA